rnacentral:rRNA from 1 species
ACUCCUACGGGAGGCAGCAGUGAGGAAUAUUGGUCAAUGGACGCAAGUCUGAACCAGCCAUGCCGCGUGCAGGAUGACGGCCCUAUGGGUUGUAAACUGCUUUUCCACGGGAAGAACCCUCCGACGUGUCGGAGACUGACGGUACCGUGGGAAUAAGCAUCGGCUAACUCCGUGCCAGCAGCCGCGGUAAUACGGAGGAUGCAAGCGUUAUCCGGAUUUAUUGGGUUUAAAGGGUGCGUAGGUGGGCUUAUAAGUCAGCGGUGAAAUCCCCCGGCUCAACCAGGGAAUUGCCGUUGAUACUGUUAGCCUUGAGUACAGUUGAAGUGGGCGGAAUGUAGCGUGUAGCGGUGAAAUGCAUAGAUAUGCUACAGAACACCAAUAGCGAAGGCAGCUCACUAAGUUGUAACUGACACUAAUGCACGAAAGCGUGGGGAUCAAACAGGAUUAGAUACCCUGGUAGUC